rnacentral:snRNA from 1 species
AUACCUUUCUCGGCCUUUUGGCUAAGAUCAAGUGUAGUAUCUGUUCUUAUCAGUUUAAUAUCUGAUACGUGGGUCAUCGAUCCACUAUGAUAUUAAAUUAAUUUAUUGUGGGAGAAGGUCCACCGCGGUAGCUUGCUGCCGGGGCCCUCGCGCGUCGCCCGUGCGUUGCACUACAGCACGGGCCCGGCGCACCCUAU